rnacentral:piRNA from 1 species
CAGAGUUCAAUCUCAGGACCCACAUGA